rnacentral:tRNA from 14 species
UCAGUUGGCAGAGCAUCGGAUUCCAGUCCCGAAGAUCAUCGGUGCAAGUCCGGUAG